rnacentral:lncRNA from 1 species
GUAAACAGUCACACGUGAAUAUUUCAAGAAAUCUGGUUUCUUCAUCAACAAAACACAUAGAACAUGGAUGGGUCGAGUAUUGUUUCCAUGUAUGGACGAUGAAAUUUCAAUAAGAUAAGUAAAUUAUUUAAUUGAUACAUAUGAACAGGAUCAGCAAAAUCUGGGAUUGUCGAAUAGAAAUUCUAUGUAAGCAGCACAACAAUAGUUCAUUGAUAAUGAUUUGAUGAACACUGACAAGAGAUAUAAUUUGCUUACAUUUACCUGUGGCUGUCGUUGAAAUGGCGGAACUGUACGUACAUCGUGCCUAACGCCUUAAGUUAUUUUCCCGCCUCAUUACAUUCUGAAUUUAAAUCCAAACAUGGCGUUCAUCACUGGUACAAUUUAAUCCAAAACGGGUUGCAUAGGAUCACGUUAUGCUACCACAUGCGUUCAGAGGACUGUAUUUCAUUUCGAGCCUUCCCGCCAAGUCUUCAGUUUCGCGAUACUUGUUGUAUUCCACAAUUCUCUGAGCUCAUGACUAUAUGAAGGGUCACAGGCAACACUUGCUCUCCUGAUUAAAGAGAAAAGAAAAACUACUGAGGUCAAAUAUCAACACAGCGUGAUUUUAAUUUAUCUUUCCCUGAGACUGGCGAAGAUUUAAUUAUCAAAAGACCCAAAAUUAAUUCUCAUACAAUAUUUCGAUCAAAAAGAUUAUAAUCAUGAGCUGAAACAAGGAACUGAUGCAGAUUUGAAACGAAAACUUAAAUGUUAAAACCAAAAACAAAAACAAGAACAGACAACUCGCUUGGUUUCGGUUAAAGCACGCACAAAGCCUGACAUUUUUGGAGGAGCAAGUCAGUUACAU